rnacentral:rRNA from 1 species
GACGAACGCUGGCGGCGUGCUUAACACAUGCAAGUCGAACGGAGUGGCGAACGGGUGAGUAACACGUGGGUGACCUGCCCUGCACUUCGGGAUAAGCCUGGGAAACUGGGUCUAAUACCGGAUAGUUUGGGAUGGGCCCGCGGCCUAUCAGCUUGUUGGUGGGGUAAUGGCCUACCAAGGCGGCGACGGGUCGCCGGCCCGAGAGGGUGGACGGCCACAUUGGGACUGAGACACGGCCCAGAAUCCUCCGGGAGGCAGCAGUGGGGAAUGUGGCUCAAUGGGCGGAAGCCUGAUGCAGGGACGCCGCGUGGGCGAUGACGGCCUUCGGGUUGUAAACCGCUUUCAGCCAUGACGCGGUAGUGGCAGAAGAAGCACCGGCGAACUACGUGCCAGCAGCCGCGGUAAUUC